UCUUUUUUAAUCACUGAAUAAUAUUCCAUGGUAUGGGCUUGCUGUCGUUUCUAUUUAGACUUGGUGUUGGCAUUCCCAAUAACUGCAUCUUCCAGCAAGAAGAGGAGAGAGAAAUUAAGAGUACACAUACCUUGAUGAGCACCAAGUAUUGUAUAGAAUUGUUGAAUCACUACACAGGACACCCGAAACUAACAUGACACUGUAUGUUAACUACACUAGAAUUAAAAAAAAAAGGGGGGGGGAAGAGAGGAGCAGCAGGUCAGGCCUUUGCUAGAAAGCUUCCCCCAGUCUCUGGUAGCACUACACAAUUUUCUCCAUUCCUCAUCCUGCCAUUGAUUCAGUCUCACUGAUGAUACUUGUGGUAUGUAUUUGUAACUAUCUUACACCCUCACCGUUUGAAAUUCCUUUCCAUUUGGGGGGGAUCCAGAGCUGUGCAUGGCUGGUGGAAACCAGGAUGUAACUACACUACAAAAGGCAAAAGUACCAGACUUUGCCCUCCCACAAACCCCAGCAGGGCUUAGCCGAUCCCAUGCACGUGAUGGAAACUUGGAACAUGGAAUGAGGUACACACAAGCAGGAAGAGUCUGGAAUUUACUCCAGGGGGGCCACUGCUCUGGCAUUGGCAGUGGGGCUGAUGGCUGCAGCUGGUGCACAGUGGGGGCAUUAUCAGCCCCCUAACCAGGAUGCUGUUUGGAGCAAUUGGAAUGCACCAUGAUGACAUCCUUGGACUGACCCAGUGGAUGAGGAACAGAAGCUUUGUAAGAAAAAUCCAUCUGGGUGUGCAGCAAUGCAAAAACUCUUCCAAAAAAUAAGACCAACGGAGCCACCAAAAUGAGCUAGUUCUGUAUCCCGCUCUUGCGGAUGAGUCUGAAGAAUGUUCCAGCUGCAAACCUCAAUGUGGUCAAUGCCAGUGCCUACAGCCAGGGGCUGAGGGAAGGAGGAGGUUGUAAGUGGAGCUGUUGUGUCCCCCACUUGGAAACCCCUCUGAGGAGGGAAAAGACGGAUCCCGACCCUUCGGUUUCACCUCCUGUGUUUCUCCAACACUCAAGUGGGCUCCACCACCCAAGCCUCUCUGGUGGCUUCAGGCACUUAUGUUGUGUGCUGAUAACGGAAGACAAA